rnacentral:rRNA from 1 species
UACGUAGGGUGCGAGCGUUAAUCGGAAUUACUGGGCGUAAAGCGUGCGCAGGCGGUGAUGUAAGACCGAUGUGAAAUCCCCGGGCUUAACCUGGGAACUGCAUUGGUGACUGGCAGGCUUUGAGUGUGGCAGGAGGGGGGUAGAAUUCCACGUGUAGCAGUGAAAUGCGUAGAGAUGUGGAGGAAUACCGAUGGCGAAGGCAGCCCCCUGGGCCAACACUGACGCUCAUGCACGAAAGCGUGGGGAGCAA